CGAGCCCGCUCGGGAGAGUCCCCGGCCAUCGAGACCCUGGCGGGGGCGCCGAAGGAGCAACUCCUCCCCGGAAUCUCUCAGGCAUCCGUACCGUGUGGGAUAG
rnacentral:ncRNA from 2 species